rnacentral:rRNA from 1 species
AAACCAGCACCUCAAGUGGUCAGGAGGAUUAUUGGGCCUAAAGCAUCCGUAGCCUGCUGCAUAAGUUUUCGGCUAAAUCCAUACGCUCAACGUAUGGGCUGCCGGGAAUACUGUGCAGCUAGGGAGUGGGAGAGGUAGACGGUACUCGGUAGGAAGGGGUAAAAUCCUUUGAUCUAUUGAGGACCACCUGUGGCGAAGGCGGUCUACCAGAACACGUUCGACGGUGAGGGAUGAAAGCUGGGGGAGCAAACCGGAUUAGAAACCCGAGUAGUCC